rnacentral:lncRNA from 1 species
CGAAGUCAUUCAAGCUUUCAAAGCUAAAGUCAGUAAGUUCAAGAUUUUAGGUAUAAUUUGAGUAAAGAAUUUGUAUAAUUUCAAGUUUUUAUGAAGGAAAUAUAGGCAUUCAAAGUUAAGGUGUCAAAUUUGUACCUACUGUCACUCUUUGAAGCAUAACACAUGCGUACGGAGAGCAAUGAAAGAUCGGCGAUUGGAGUUGGAGAGAACACUUUUUUGACUAUACUUUACGUAUAUUGUUUGACAAAUUCCAAGUCUAGAUAA